rnacentral:rRNA from 1 species
UACGGAGGGGGCUAGCGUUGUUCGGAAUUACUGGGCGUAAAGCGCACGUAGGCGGAUAUUUAAGUCAGGGGUGAAAUCCCAGAGCUCAACUCUGGAACUGCCUUUGAUACUGGGUAUCUUGAGUAUGGAAGAGGUAAGUGGAAUUGCGAGUGUAGAGGUGAAAUUCGUAGAUAUUCGCAAGAACACCAGUGGCGAAGGCGGCUCACUGGCCCGAUACUGACGCUGAGGCACGAAAGCGUGGGGAGCAAACAGG